GUGUUCAGUGGAUGUGCAUUUAUUUUGUUUGCGCUUCACACAUUAGCUGGCUCUCGUAAUUUACGUUUCCUGCCAACAGUUUUCGACAAUUCGUAUUUUAUUUACUAGUCUCGAUCGUAGGAGACGAAACCGAUUUUCUUUUUUAUUCAUCUCACACAGUGUGUUUAUUGAGAGAAUAAAUUUUUAUUUCGUUCAUUUACAAAAUAAAAACAUCAACGAAGUUUUCGAUUGAAACAAUAAAUAAAGCAACAAAAAACAAAUUGUCACAAAGCUAUCAUAUGAUUUGGCAUGAUUUGUAAACUAUGCUGAACUACUCAAAUAUAAAGUGAUCGAAUUUUGUCCAACGAUUGAGUUAAGAAAUGCAUGAAAUUUAAUAUCGAAACUUUUCUCCAAAAUUAAAACAAGCAAUUUGAUAAAAUUAGUGUGAAAAGGUGUCAAUACAUUUCUGUCACAAGUCAAUUGAAUUUUAUCUCGUGUUGAGUGUGGAACAAAAGAACGAAUUGAAAAAAAAAAAAAACGGUUUUUGUGUUUAAAUUUGAAGUGAAUCGAAUUAUAUUUAUUAGACAGGAUUAUUUUGUAAGAAUGUGAAUGUAUAUUGUGCGCUACCGAAUCAUUCGAAUUAAGAUUACUAAUCGGCCUUGUGUUGUCCAUUCUCGAAUUUGAAUCAAGAAUAGAAGAGAGAAAAACCAAACCGAACAAAUAAAGUUAAUUGAGUGAAAAUUAUUGUGAGAGAAGACACACAUUUCAGAAAGACGAGAUUAAAAUCUCCAUACAGUUCUCGAUCGUUCGUUGUUCAUUCGUUUUGAAAUAAUUAAAAGAAACAAAUCACAAGAAUUUUUUUAAUACUGACAAAAAACAAAUGCAUAACAAAGAAAUAAACUGAAAUUAUUAAUUGACCUGCCGGAUUAAAUUGGAUUAUAAAUUCUGUUUUGUAUUGUUGAAGGAAGAGCUUACAUAUAUCGAACGAGAGAGAAGAAAAAAAAAUUCAACAAAAAAUAUUAGACAAUUUUAUUGGAUUGCUGAGUUUGCAGACAACAACACCAACCCAACGGUAU